rnacentral:tRNA from 1 species
ACCUGGGUGGCUCAGUCGGUUAAGCGUCUGACUUUGGCUCAGGUCAUGAUCUCUCAGUUUGUGGGUUCAAGCCCCACAUCUGGCU